rnacentral:rRNA from 1 species
AUUGAACGCUGGCGGCAGGCUUAACACAUGCAAGUCGAGCGGAGAUGAGGUGCUUGCACCUUAUCUUAGCGGCGGACGGGUGAGUAAUGCUUAGGAAUCUGCCUAUUAGUGGGGGACAACAUUCCGAAAGGAAUGCUAAUACCGCAUACGCCCUACGGGGGAACGCAGGGGAUCUUCGGACCUUGCGCUAAUAGAUGAGCCUAAGUCGGAUUAGCUAGUUGGUGGGGUAAAGGCCUACCAAGGCGACGAUCUGUAGCGGGUCUUAGAGGAUGAUCCGCCACACUGGGACUGAGACACGGCCCAGACUCCUACGGGAGGCAGCAGUGGGGAAUAUUGGACAAUGGGCGGAAGCCUGAUCCAGCCAUGCCGCGUGUGUGAAGAAGGCCUUUUGGUUGUAAAGCACUUUAAGCGAGGAGGAGGCUACCUGGAUUAAUACUCUAGGAUAGUGGACGUUACUCGCAGAAUAAGCACCGGCUAACUCUGUGCCAGCAGCCGCAGUAACAC